CACAAAAAAAAUGAAAUUUGAUGGAAAACUGACGGAAUUACGCUUUCGCGAAGUUAGCGACCUUGGCGAUAUUUACAAAUCGGCGAUUUCGCCCACUUUGAGACAGAGUUCGGCUAAUUCCAUUGUUCCAGUCGACCAAGCUCAUAGCUAUUUUUUUAGAACCGUUUUUUUUUUUCUAUCGACUGAGUACAAGAAACUGCCCAUUUACAGAUUUCAACUUCCCAAUAACGUGGUCAGAAAUUUGCAAUUUGGCCAAUUUCACGAAAAUUAAAAAAUACGACAGUUUCAAAAUAAGGGCCAGAAUGAACAAUACAGACAUUCCUGGCUCUAAAAUAACAUUCUUUGUUUAUGUCAUGUCUCCAGGCCCCUCUGAUAUUACUCUUGCUUUCUAUUUGAAUUUUUAUUCAAACAAAAAAUUAGAAGAUUUUCUGUUAUGCAGACUACUGUAAUAAUUGUAUAAAUAACAUCAACCCAUUCAUGACUGCAUAUUAGAAUGGCUAGUUGGACAUUUUUUGGACAAUGACAUCAUUUGUUUACUGUUGAACAUUGGCAAAAAUCAAACAUUUCCCCUACUUUGAGCUCUAUUUCCAGGUUCUUUUUAUAGUAAAACCAACCAAAAUCACCUCUAUUUCUAUAAUGUUUUCCUUCUAUCAAAUGAGACCAAGAAAACGAGAAUGCAACCAUAAAUACUAUACGAAAACAGACCACAAAUUUGGCAUUUUAAUUAAAAAAAGUAGUUUUUUUCUUUCUCAUGCACUGCGUGCUCCAGGAUUUUUUUUAUAUGGUGCACACUGACCACACAGACCCAUUUUCACAUGUGGGCCUACCAGCUUUCUCCUGCUUGAUUUGAAGCCGCUAGAAUUUGAGUAUACCUUGUAUAUACGUCAAACACGGUACCUCGUAAGACGUAUAUAUACGACCAAAACAGUCAAAGGGUUAAAGCUAAUAAAAAUCUUGUUUGCAGGGUAUCCAGGGAACCAGCAAACCCACCCACUACCAUGUACUGUGGGAUGACAGUGACUUAUCAAUGGAUGUACUUCAAUCAUUGACAUAUGCCAUGUGUCAUUUGUACUCGCGUUGCACUCGUGCAGUCUCCAUCCCGACUCCCGCUUAUUACGCACAUCUGGUGGCAUUUAGAGCCAAGGUACACAUUCAGGACCUGUGUCCCAGUGAGACCUCCUCUCUAGCCUCUGGGGAAUCAGAAGCUCCCACAGAUGCACAGAUAAACCAAGCUGCCAGGAUGGAUCUUGAAAGUGAAAUUGCCUCUAGGCUCUAUUUUGUGUAGUUCUCAAAAAGUGAAUUAAUUCUUCAUCAGGUCAAAAAAAAAAAAAAAAAAAAAGUCCACACUUCUGGUCUUUUUUUUUUUUUUUUUUUUUUUUUUCAAACAUACAUGAUCUAUCAUAUAUACACUGAACCUACCCUCCAUAUAUUGUAAAUUUAUCAUAUAGACAUUCUGAACCUAUCAUAUAUACACCUAGCCUAUCAUCUAUACAUAAUAAACCUAUCAUAUACAGUGAGCACAUACAGUACCACAAUUUAGUGCAUUUGGUAAAGAAAUAAAAUCAUUCAAAAUUUCUACUUCUAAGGAACACUAAACAUUUCUUAACCAAUUUCUACUAAAACUAGAAAGCCAGGAAAUACUCUAAUACCUGGAAGUAUUGCAUCUUACGAAGAAACCACUAAGGAAAAAAUGUACAGUACCUCAUUGUAAUUGUUUACUUGGCAUGACUUCCUUCUAUAAAAUAUUUUAUUUUUCUUGGUGAUAAUACCGAUGUGACUGGUUUCUUUAUAAAGCUGAGGCUCUUAUGUAAACAUUGCUGAAAUGUACAAGUAAAUUUGUUAGCAUCAUUUAGAAUGGAUGAAUGUGAUCAUUGUGUCUAGUAGAUAAGUGGCAGAUAACCUGGGUUGUGAUGGCAAUGUAGGUAUGCAGGCUGCUGGCAGCCACAUCUUGACUGACCAGGCAGUCAACAGUAGUUUGGCCUCAGACUAGACUGAGAGCAAAGUAUCUCCAAGCCACAGGUAUACUUGUUUCACAGCAGGGUAUACCAAAUUUACUUCCCUAAAUUUUUUCAUACUCAUAAUAGCUAACUGUUUUUCUGAUUCCAUGUAUAAAUUUAAGACGCUAUCAAAUGCAGAAUUUUCUGAAUCUUGUCAUUUGGUAUGUGUAUUUGGUUGUAUAGUUUUUUGGUUAUUGCAACUGGUAAAGAAAUUCAUUUUUAGUGCUCACUUAUUGAUAUAUUUUUUUAGCAAAUAAAUCUAUUACCAAAAUUGUAUUAUAUUGUAAAAUAUCAAAUGCAAAAUUAAUUAGAUUCUGUAAUCUAUGAUCUUAACAGUGUUCCCUUAUCCAGAACACAGUGUCCUUAGUUUUAUUUUAGAAUUUUAUAUUUUUAAUCCCAUAGGUUUUAUCCACUUGUUAUUUGCAGCAGAUUUGAUCAAUUCUUAAGGUAUGGUUCAGGUUUGCAAUGAGAGGUCAUAAUCACUAGUUUUUCUCUAGCUACUUCAGAGUACUGAUUCACUCUAUCUAUAUAAAUGUAAAGUGAUCAUGGUAGCAUAAGAGUUCAAAAGUUUUUCAAUAGUAUUAGACAAUUUAAAUAUGGAGUGAUGUGGCCCAGUUUUAAUAAGAACUGAAAGUUGAAGAUUUCAAUGGAACCAACUUGUCAGAAGAGAUAUUUUAUUUUUAAACAUUUUGUGGUUGCUGUGGAUAUUUUCUUAGACUGUACAAUUAAUUAUAAUGUGUGUGUGUGUGUGUGCACGUAUGGAAUGCAUUAUGAAAAAGGUGUUGCUGAUUCUAUAUAAACAUACUACACUACCUUUCCAUCCUCUCCGAAUAAGUGCCUCCCAUCCCAUGACAGUUAGAAAUAGGAUAACCACACUUGCUUAAAGACUUGCAGUGUAUUAGGAAAAUAGUUUCCUUUUACAGUCCAGUAAAGUAAGGUGCUUCAGUAUUCAUACAGUGUUGUAUGUGGAUUUAUCACCUGGCAUAAGAUGCAUCUUGAAAUGAUUUUGCUGAAAAAUAAGCAAAGAGUACCUGGAUUAUUUGUGAUAAUUUUCUAAUGCAUCUGAGCAAGUUAUAUUAUUUAUUGAAUAUAUGUGAGUGUUGAUUAAUAUUUUGAAAUUUUCAGUUAGAUACUGUUUUAGGUUUGUAGAUCUAAGAAAAAAUUGAAGCUGAAGGCUAUAAAAAGUUUGAAGGUACAUUCUGCUAGUUUUAAAAUGUGAAAUCUAGUGAUAAGGGAUUGUUGUGCAGUACUUGAGAGCACACUGUUAGAAGGUAAAUGACUGACAGUUUUGCCAUUAGUAAAAAAUUUUGAAAUGAGGCAGUGUUUGUAGCCAUCAUUUUGGGAGCAUUAUUGACUGUAAAAGAAAUGAGAGUAGUGAGGUUGUGUUCAUUAAGGUUUUUAGCUACAAAGUAUUCACAAAAUUAAUUGUUAAUAAAAUAAUUUGACUUUUGCUAAAGGAGCUGAGCAAUACAUGAAGGUUGCAGCAUGUGAACAGGGAGAAAAAUAACAUUGACAACUUUUAGAGUAAGGAAAAAUUAUAGGCAUGACUGGAUGUAUAUUGAGAGUGGCACAGUACUCAGUAUGGAGAAAGGUUGUCCAGGAUCAAGCUAAACACAAGAUUAAUAACUUAAAUGAAAAUGUGUGAAUUCUUUGAUAAUGAUGUUUCUAUUUAGAAAUUAUAUUAUCCUUUGUAAUAUAUCAAAAAAUACAGUUCAGUACAGUAUUUUUUUUUUUUUUUAAAUUGUGAGGAUGAAAUUAUUAUAUAUUUCAUGGUUUUUUUAUAUAUGUAGAUGUGUACAAGUACUGUACAUGCAAAUAUGGUCAUAUCUCCAUACAUAUAUAUGCUUAUGUUAGUGUGCAUGCCAGUACUGAGAGUCCCCAACUUGAGCAGAGGCAUAAACCUGUGCAGUUGGUAAUGACACAUGACAAGCAAUUAAAUUUUUAACUGUCACUUCAUAAUCAUGAACAUGGGUGAAACAUAACCAUCCAGUGUACUAUUGUUUCCCACUGGAAAACACCUUCCUCGUUACAAACAACUAGUUUAUAAGCUGGAGUCCAAUUAACAGAACUUUUGCCCAAGUUGGAGACUCCCUGUAAAGUGUAUUAGGGGAUCAUUUACAUCUGUUUUUUUUUAAAUGCCAGUUAUUUGUAUGUUGUGUGCAAUAGGCUGGUGUUGCUGGAAAUAAACCUUUAGACAUGAGAAUAUUUAUAUUUUAACUGUUAAAGCAUUGGAGACUUGCAUUGUGUGCAAUAGGCUGGUGUUGCUGGAAAUAAACCUUUAGACAUGAGAAUAUUUAUAUUUUAACUGUUAAAGCAUUGGAGACUUGCAGGAGUAGUUUGAAAAAUGACUAGGGCAUCCACAUGUCAUCUUGACUUGUAUAAAAAAAAAAAAAAAAAAAAAGUCAGUGAGAAAUUACAAAAUUUGAGAAGUUCAAAUGAAGGUGAAAUAAAUAUCAAAGUGGAAUGGAAGGUGUGGAUAAAGUGAGACAUGACAUGCUUUGCUACAGUGAGAGCACCUCGCAUGAUAAUACUGAUUUAUCAAGCAAUUAUUGCAUAGUAAGCCUAUAUACCAAUUAUACUGCUUCAGUAUUUUAUUUUAGUUGUGAUUUAUGGUUACCAAUUUCAUUGUAAAAAAAAAAAAAUUAAUUUGGAUAACAAUGAACUUUAAUAUUAUUUUCUUAUGUACCUUGAAAGUAAAAGUUUAGUAAUAGAUAAAAUGAUGAA